GCAGAGUUGAUUCGUCCUCUGUCGCGGCAACUGCUGUCAUAGCUCCGUACACUGUCAAUACUUUUGACAGAUGGCGGAGC
rnacentral:sRNA from 12 species